UAAGCGAAUAGUGAAAUGUGGCGGCUCAACCGUACACACUAUUAUUCGAACUGCUCGUCUCGAGAAUGGUAGAGGUAACUGGAAUUUCUUGUGUAGGAGUGAAAUCCGUAGAUAUAAGAAGGAACACCAAUGGCGUAGGCAGGUUACUGGACCAUUUCUGACACUGAGGCACGAAAGCGUGGGGAGCGAACCGGAUUAGAUACCCGGGUAGUCCACGCCGUAAACUAUGGAUACUA
rnacentral:rRNA from 1 species